rnacentral:rRNA from 1 species
UUGACCUCGGAUCAGGUAGGGAUACCCGCUGAACUUAAGCAUAUCAAUAAGACGGAGGAAUA